CAGAGGGUGCGAGCGUUAAUCGGAAUUACUGGGCGUAAAGGGCGCGUAGGCGGUUGAUUAAGUUGGAUGUGAAAUCCCUGGGCUUAACCUAGGAACUGCAUUCAAUACUGGUUGACUAGAGUGCUGUAGAGGGUAGUGGAAUUUCCGGUGUAGCGGUGAAAUGCGUAGAUAUCGGAAGGAACACCAGUGGCGAAGGCGGCUACCUGGACAGACACUGACGCUGAGGCGCGAGAGCGUGGGGAGCAAACAGGAUUAGAUACCCUGGUAGUCCACGCUGUAAACGAUGAGAACUAGAUGUUGGUAGGCAUGACCUAUUAGUAUCGAAGCUAACGCGAUAAGUUCUCCGCCUGGGGAGUACGGCCGCAAGGUUA
rnacentral:rRNA from 1 species